ensembl:miRNA
UAAGAACUGGAUAUGAAGACUGAAAUAAGCUCCAUAUCAAUGAGAAUUUCAAUGGGAUUAUGUAUAGUCAAUGUCCAGUAAUUA